UGGGGAAUAUUGGACAAUGGGCGCAAGCCUGAUCCAGCCAUGCCGCGUGGGUGAAGAAGGCCUUAGGGUUGUAAACCCCUUUCACCGGUGACGAUGAUGACGGUAGCCGGAGAAGAAGCCCCGGCUAACUCCGUGCCAGCAGCCGCGGUAAUACGGAGGGGGCAAGCGUUGUUCGGAAUUACUGGGCGUAAAGGGCGCGUAGGCGGCUAUCCAAGUCAGGGGUGAAAUCCCGGGGCUCAACCCCGGAACUGCCCUUGAAACUAGGUAGCUAGAAUACUGGAGAGGUGAGUGGAAUUCCGAGUGUAGAGGUGAAAUUCGUAGAUAUUCGGAAGAACACCAGUGGCGAAGGCGACUCACUGGACAGUUAUUGACGCUGAGGUGCGAAAGCGUGGGGAGCAAACAGGAUUAGAUACCCCCGUAGUCC
rnacentral:rRNA from 1 species